GCCUGUAGGCUCUGAGCGUAGUAAUUCUUCUCGCUAUAGANUCCUAUAAGUNUCUUGCCAAAACCCCCAUAUUUUUUCAGGUUGACCUNGGAUCAGGUAGGGAUACCCGCUGAACUUAAGCAUAUCAAUAAGCGGAGGAAAAGAANCCAACAGGGAUUACCUCAGUAACGGCGAGUGAAGCGGUANCAGCUCAAAUUUGAAAGCUGCCAACAGGCCGCGUUGUAAUUUGUAGAAGAUGCUUUGGGUGUUGGCCUAGUCUAAGUUCCUUGGAACAGGACGUCAUAGAGGGUGAGAAUCCCGUAUGUGAUUAGUGCCAUCCCCCGUGUAAAGCUCUUUCGACGAGUCGAGUUGUUUGGGAAUGCAGCUCAAAAUGGGUGGUAAAUUUCAUCUAAAGCUAAAUAUUGGCCAGAGACCGAUAGCGCACAAGUAGAGUGAUCGAAAGAUGAAAAGCACUUUGGAAAGAGAGUUAAACAGUACGUGAAAUUGUUGAAAGGGAAGCGCUUGCAAUCAGACUUGCAGGCGGUUGAUCAUCCGAGGUUCUCCCCGGUGCACUCGAUCGUCUUCAGGCCAGCAUCGGUUUCAGUGGUGGGAUAAAGGCUGUGAGAAUGUGGCUCUUCGGAGUGUUAUAGCUCACGGUGCAAUGCCGCCUACUGGGACCGAGGACCGCGCUUCGGCUAGGAUGCUGGCGUAAUGGUUGUAAGCGACC
rnacentral:rRNA from 1 species